UAGGGAAUCUUCGGCAAUGGACGAAAGUCUGACCGAGCAACGCCGCGUGAGUGAAGAAGGUUUUCGGAUCGUAAAACUCUGUUGGUAGAGAAGAACGUUGGUGAGAGUGGAAAAGCUCAUCAAGUGACGGUAACUACCCAGAAAGGGACGGCUAACUACGUGCC
rnacentral:rRNA from 1 species